rnacentral:rRNA from 1 species
AAAACAUGUCUUUUAGUUUUUUUUAAAGGUUUGACCUGCUCAAUGAUAAUUUAAAUAGCCGCAGUAUUUUAACUGUGCAAAGGUAGCAUAAUAAUUAGUCUUUUAAUUGAGGUCUGGAAUGAAUGGUUGAACGAGAAAUUUACUUUAUUAAUUAAAAUAUUUUGAAUUUAUAAAUUAAGUUAAAAUACUUAAAUUGUUUAGAGGGACGAUAAGACCCUAUAGAUCUUUAAAAUAUUAAUUUUUCUUUCUUUUUGUUGUUUUAUAUAUAGAUUUUUAAUUUUUUUUAGUUGGGGUGAUUAGCAAAAUUUUAAACUUUGUUUUAUUUUUACAUUCAUUUAUGUUUUUUUUGAUCCUUUUUUUUGAUUAAAAGAUAAAGAUACCUUAGGGAUAACAGCGUUAUUUAUUUGGAGAGUUCUAAUCGAUGAAUAAGUUUGCGACCUCGAUGUUGGAUUAAGUUGUGUUUGUGGGGUAGGUUUACAAA